ACUCAAAGGAAUAGACGGGGGCCCGCACAAGCGGUGGAGCAUGUUGUUUAAUUCGACGCAACGCGAAGAACCUUACCAGGGCUUGACAUCCCGUGACAUCCCAUGAAAAUGGGCUUUUCCGCAAGGAGACACGGAGACAGGUGCUGCAUGGCUGUCGUCAGCUCGUGCCGUGAGGUGUUGGGUUAAGUCCCGCAACGAGCGCAACCCUUGUCGUGUGUUGGUCCACAAGAUCUCUCACACGAGACCGCCGGUGAGAAGCCGGAGGAAGGUGGGGAUGACGUCAAGUCCGCAUGGCCUUUAUUGUCCUGGGCUACAAACGUGCUACAAUGGGGAGGACAACGAGCAGCGAACUCGCGAGAGUAAGCCAAUCUCUUAAACCUUCUCUCAGUUCGGAUUGAAGGCUGCAACUCGCCUUCAUGAAGUCGGAAUCGCUAGUAACCGCAGAUCAGCUACGCUGCGGUGAAUACGUUCCCGGGCCUUGUACACACCGCCCGU
rnacentral:rRNA from 1 species